rnacentral:rRNA from 1 species
GAUGAACGCUGGCGGCGUGCCUAAUACAUGCCAGUCGAGCGAACAGAUGAGGAGCUUGCUCCUCUGACGUUAGCGGCGGACGGGUGAGUAACACGUGGAUAACCUACCUAUAAGACUGGGAUAACUUCGGGAAACCGGAGCUAAUACCGGAUAAUAUAUUGAACCGCAUGGUUCAAUAGUGAAAGACGGUUUUGCUGUCACUUAUAGAUGGAUCCGCGCCGCAUUAGCUAGUUGGUAAGGUAACGGCUUACCAAGGCAACGAUGCGUAGCCGACCUGAGAGGGUGAUCGGCCACACUGGAACUGAGACACGGUCCAGACUCCUACGGGAGGCAGCAGUAGGAAAUCUUCCGCAAUGGGCGAAAGCCUGACGGAGCAACGCCGCGUGAGUGAUGAAGGUCUUCGGAUCGUAAAACUCUGUUAUUAGGGAAGAACAAAUGUGUAAGUAACUAUGCACGUCUUGACGGUACCUAAUCAGAAAGCCACGGCUAACUACGUG